rnacentral:rRNA from 1 species
AGAGUUUGAUUCUGGCUCAGAACGAACGCUGGCGGCGCGCUUAACACAUGCAAGUCGAACGGCAACGGGUCCUUCGGGAUGCCGGCGAGUGGCGAACGGGUGAGUAACGCGUGGAUACCUGCCCUAUGGUGGGGAAUAACGUCUAGAAAUGGACGCUAAUACCGCAUAAGCCCUAUGGGGGAAAGAUUUAUUGCCAUGGGAGGGGUCCGCGUCGGAUUAGCUAGUUGGUGGGGUAACGGCCUACCAAGGCGACGAUCCGUAGCUGGUCUGAGAGGAUGAUCAGCCACACUGGGACUGAGACACGGCCCAGACUCCUACGGGAGGCAGCAGUGGGGAAUAUUGCGCAAUGGGGGAAACCCUGACGCAGCGACGCCGCGUGGGUGAAGAAGGCCUUAGGGUUGUAAAGCCCUUUCAGUGGGAAAGAUGAUGACGGUACCCACAGAAGAAGCUCCGGCUAACUCCGUGCCAGCAGCCGCGGUAAUACGGAGGGGGCUAGCGUUGUUCGGAAUUACUGGGCGUAAAGGGCGCGUAGGCGGUUGAUCAAGUCAGGAGUGAAAGCCUCGUGCUCAACGCGGGAACUGCUUCUGAAACUGGUCGACUAGAGUACGGUAGA